UCAUAUCUGGAUUGGUUAUUUUAUGUAUUAAUUUGGAUUUGGGAUCAGAGGUCUUAUAUUUUUGCAGGAUGAAAGUUCAUCUGAACAUUUUUACGAAAGCAUCGCCAAACAAAUCAACAAAGUGAAUAGCCUUUAGAAAAAACUACCUAAUGAGAGAGAAGAUUCUCUUGAAAACCUGAAGAGCCUUCCUGAUCUUAAGGAAUUAUAUUAAGAUGAAUGAAUCUCAGACACUGGCUUCUAUAUUUUGGGAAAAGCCUUGUGCCUCCUCUAGGUAUGUCACGUUAAUUGCUACUUUUUUAUCUACUCACAAUUGUAACCUUGACAAAGUUACCAAGUCAAACAAGUAGACUUUCCUCUCAAUUUACAAAGCCUUACUCCUUUUUGAUGGGUAGUACAGAUGGUCUUUACUCCGGAAAAGAUUAUUUUUCUCCUCUUAUCAUGAUGUAUGAGCAUUAAACAGAUAAAAGAUAAUGUAGUCAGAUAGAGCCCAUAUCUGCUAUAUAAACCUACACAAUGAAAAAGCUCAUGUCAAGAAAUCAGUUCUUUUUUAUAGGUCUAAUGUAUACAAUGUUAGUUAGAAUUUGUGCGGGGGCAUAAGAAAGCUAGAUUCAGAAUGGGAAAGGUAAUAAAAUUAAUUUUCCC
rnacentral:lncRNA from 1 species